rnacentral:tRNA from 1 species
AGAAACUUAGGAUAGACCAAACCAAAGGCCUUCAAAGCCUUAAACAAGAGUUAACCCUCUUAGUUUCUG